rnacentral:lncRNA from 1 species
UUUCAAGGACCCACAGACAAACUGAUACAGACCCAAAUCUUAUUGGGCUCAAUGAACCCUUGAUCCAAGAAGAAACAGCCAAGCAUAGGUGGGACAGAGUAUAUGAGAGGAAAAAGAGUAGGAAAGGUGACGUGGCAUAGUCGAGGGGAAUAGGUUGGUUAGAAGAGAGAGAAAUGGGUGUGGUUGUUUAAAAGAGAAUCUGGAAGAAAGUUUUGGGGACGGUUAGUUGUUUUUUUCGUAGAGAGGGAGCCAUUCUUGGUUUCUCUGAGGAGCUUGGCUCUGGGCAGUGAGUUAUUCAUAUCUUACUGAUUUUCUAGUUUUGCAGAGAAUAAAAUACACUCAUAUUCAGUCUUCAUUUGAU